AUUGAACGCUGGCGGCAGGCUUAACACAUGCAAGUCGAGCGAGCGGCGGACGGGUGAGUAAUGUCUGGGAAACUGCCUGAUGGAGGGGGAUAACUACUGGAAACGGUAGCUAAUACCGCAUACCAUCAGAUGUGCCCAGAUGGGAUUAGCUAGUAGGUGGGGUAAUGGCUCACCGAGGCGACGAUCCGUAACUGGUCUGAGAGGAUGAUCAGUGAAACGGUAACUGAGACACGGUCCAGACGCCGACGGUAGGCAGCAGUGGGGAAUAUUGGACAAUGGGCGAAAGCCUGAUCCAGCCAUGCCGCGUGUGUGAAGAAGGUCUUCGGAUUGUAAAGCACUUUAAGUUGGGAGGCGUUACCAACAGAAUAAGCACCGGCUAACUUCGUGCCAGCAGCCGCGGUAAUUC
rnacentral:rRNA from 1 species